AUGGGAGAGGGAAACGGAAUUCCUGGAGUAACGGUGAAACGCGUAGAUAUCAGGAGGUACACCGGUGCCGAAGUCGGCUUCCUGGACCUAUGCUCACGCUGAGGCGCGAAGGCGUGGGGACCGGACAGGAUUAGAUACCCUGGUAGUCCACGCAGUCAAACCCUGAUCACUAGGACGUAGCGGGAAAGGACCCAUGGUCCCCCGGAGUUAACGCACUAACUGAUCCGCCUGGCGACUACGAUCGCAAGAUUGCAACUCAAAGGAACUGACGGGGGCCCGCACAACCGCUGGAGCAUGUGAUCAAAUUCGACGCUACGCGAAGAACCGUACCUCGACUCGACAUCUCGGGAAUUCCGGGGAUAGACGGGAGUGCCGUAGAACGAGGAAUCCGACGACAGGUCAGGCUAUGGCAGUCGUCAGCUCAUGUCGUGAGAUGAUGGGUUAAGUCCCGUAACGAGCGCAACCCCUAUCUUCAGUUACCAUCAGGUGAUCAUGGGGACUUUGGAGAUACUGCCCCGGUGAACGGGGAGAAAGAUGGGGAUAACGUCACGUCACUCACGGCCCCUAUGAUCCAGGGCUACACACGAUGCUACACUGGUAAGGACACAGGGAACAGAUCCCGCGAGGAGGAGCUAAUCUCUCAAAGCACUAUCAAAGCUUGGAUCGGAGUCGCAACAUUAGCUCCGUGAAGUUGGAAUCGCGUAGUAAUCACGGAUCUGCAUACCGCGGUGUAUACGUUCCCGGGCACUUGUACUACACCGCCCCGUCACACCCAUGAGAGUUGGGUGUAUCAGAAGUCUUUGGGAUACCACGCAAGGGGGGUAGGGCAUAAGUAUGUUGAUGAUUGGG
rnacentral:rRNA from 1 species